rnacentral:lncRNA from 1 species
GAUAGUUAAUUAAGGAAAAAAGGGAUAAAUUGUAAAAAUUGUAAAACUUAAGCAGUACUAAUUUUAUUAGUUAAAAUGUAUGAUUAUUGAAUGUUUAAGGAUCUAAAAGGUAAUUAAAUCUUAGAGCUAUAGUGGGACGGUCAAAACUUGUAAAAUUAAUGAAAUUACAAGUUAAAUUUAAGGGUACUUUAGUAAUUAAAUAAUGAUUAAAACAUAAACGAAAGAAACCAAAAACUAUCUUCU